rnacentral:tRNA from 1 species
AUGGUUAAGUGGUUAAGGCGAUAGACUAGAAAUCUAUUGGGAUCUUCCCGCACAGGUUCGAAUCCUGUCGACUG